rnacentral:rRNA from 1 species
ACGUAUUGAUUGAUCGAGAUCCGUU